rnacentral:rRNA from 1 species
CAGCAGCCGCGGUAAUACGUAGGGGGCGAGCGUUGUCCGGAAUUACUGGGCGUAAAGGGCGUGUAGGCGGCCUGUUAAGUCAGGGGUGAAAGACCGGGGCUCAACCCCGGGGGUGCCUCUGAAACUGGCGGGCUUGAGUGCUCUAGAGGGCAGUGGAAUUCCCGGUGUAGCAGUGAAAUGCGUAGAGAUCGGGAGGAACACCAGUGGCGAACGCGGCUGCCUGGGGAGUCACUGACGCUGAGGCGCGAAAGCUAGGGGAGCAAACAGGAUUAGAUACCCUGGUAGUCCUAGCCGUAAACGAUGAGCGCUAUGUGUGAGGGGUAUCGACCCCCCUCGUGCAGUAGCUAACGCAUUAAGCGCUCCGCCUGGGGAGUACGGCCGCAAGGUUGAAACUUAAAGGAAUUGGCGGG